rnacentral:lncRNA from 1 species
CUAAACAAUGGUGCAUGUAAGGAAGAAAUGAUUGGAUAAAAAACCUCUAAAAGAUAACAAUGAAAAAUAUUACCAAAACAGCAAGCUAGACUUACGACUUAAAAUGCCAGGAAGGAAAUUCUGAUAAAGUAUUAGAAAUAGAAUGGACCAAGCAUGUCUUUGAUAUAGUAUAUAGUUUAAUUUCACUACUCUAAGGUCAGCCUGGGGAAUUUAGAUAUAAUCCAAGAGGACUAGUGUGUAUAUUAAGCCAUU